rnacentral:piRNA from 1 species
UCCCCGAAUUGUAUAAACAGGAAAUAGUGG